rnacentral:rRNA from 1 species
CCUACGGGGGGCUGCAGUGGGGAAUAUUGGACAAUGGGGGCAACCCUGAUCCAGCCAUGCCGCGUGUGUGAAGAAGGCCCUCGGGUUGUAAAGCACUUUCAGUGAGGAAGAACGCCUGGUGGUUAAUACCCAUCAGGAAAGACAUCACUCACAGAAGAAGCACCGGCUAACUCCGUGCCAGCAGCCGCGGUAAUACGGAGGGUGCGAGCGUUAAUCGGAAUUACUGGGCGUAAAGCGCGCGUAGGUGGCUUGAUAAGCCGGUUGUGAAAGCCCCGGGCUCAACCUGGGAACGGCAUCCGGAACUGUCAAGCUAGAGUGAAGGAGAGGAAGGUAGAAUUCCCGGUGUAGCGGUGAAAUGCGUAGAGAUCGGGAGGAAUACCAGUGGCGAAGGCGGCCUUCUGGACUGACACUGACACUGAGGUGCGAAAGCGUGGGUAGCAAACAGGAUUAGAUACCCCAGUAGUC